rnacentral:rRNA from 1 species
CUACGGGCUGCACCAGUGGGGAAUAUUGCACAAUGGAGGAAACUCUGAUGCAGCCACGCCGCGUGGAGGAUGACACUUUUCGGAGCGUAAACUCCUUUUAUAUAGGAAGAAGAUGACGGUACUAUAUGAAUAAGCGCCGGCUAACUCCGUGCCAGCAGCCGCGGUAAUACGGAGGGCGCAAGCGUUACUCGGAAUCACUGGGCGUAAAGAGCGUGUAGGCGGAUUAAAAAGUCAGAAGUGAAAUCCUAUAGCUUAACUAUAGAACUGCUUCUGAAACUCUUAAUCUAGAAUAUGGGAGAGGUAAAGGGAAUUUCUGGUGUAGGGGUAAAAUCCGUAGAGAUCAGAAGGAAUACCGAUUGCGAAGGCGAUCUACUAGAACAUUAUUGACGCUGAGACGCGAAAGCGUGGGGAGCAAACAGGAUUAGAUACCCUCGUAGUC